rnacentral:sRNA from 1 species
UCAAAACUGGUACUAUGGGCGUAGCAU